CGCUAACGUCAGGGUCCUGCCAUUGGAUUUCACAGCGCUUACAACACUGUUCCAAAUUGUCUUUCCGCGACGGCAGUUCAAUCAAUUUACGUGGCAUUGCCAACUGAAGUGAAACCGUUGCCCAUUCCUGCUGGUUCGUUGACGUAUCGCAUUAUGAGCGUGAAGUGACAAAAGGGUGGCAUACCAAAGGCAAGCCGUGGUCGAAGAGAUAUCCCUGGGACUUCAACAGUUACGUACGGCACCUGCCGAGCUGGCGCGCUGCUUAGGGCUGGUUUCGUUUCAUUCUCAACUGCGAGAUAGGAUCUAGUGGGGCUAUAAAAACAGAUACAUUUUGAGCGCGGCUGUGUUACGUACGUAAUGCGGUCGGUAUCUUCGUGCUAUUGCACGAGCCGUGCCGCAAGCAUCCAUGUUAUGGCCACAGGGUGUCACUCACGACACUUCUUCAAGCGCCGUUCCUCGAAAUGACUACAUUGGGGGAGUUUUUUACCCAGGCAACACGUAAUCGUAACCCUCUGAAUGACUCGAGAGUCACCCUGUUUCAGGUAGUCUCGCGAGUCGUGUGUGUGACGAGCUGUUUUUCGCUUCUUUGCUUGCCGUAUUGUCGGAAUCGAGAAUAAACUAAUGCCCACUGCAGAUGGUACUUUGUCUCUAAGGGACACUCCAUCACGACACCAAAAACGACACUUCAUUCCCUGGAUUUGGAAAGGUGUUAAAUGCUGGAAGGUGCGAACGGGUCUCCGCAGCAUGUGCUUGCGGCCGAUUUGAGAGCUUUCUGAGGGCUGGAGCCUAUCAUGCUCGGUUGGUUGUGUGCCGAUCUCGGCACGGUUGUCCCUCGUUCACAGACACAUCAUGUUUACACUGUGUCCUCUGCUUUUGGGUCAGCGUGUUACAGGUUUCUGGAACUGCAAAACAGCAAAAAGGAGCGCCGCCUUGCAGUUUAGCGGCAGCAGACGCGCCACCGGGCAGUGUUGCGUUGGCAAGCCGGUAAAGAGCCAAAGGCAAAAGCAGAGCAACGCGAGCCACCCCCGCCUCCAGCUAUCGUCAACGCACUGCCUUGGCCUUACAUUGCUCUUUCCUACUACCCAGCAGCGCGCCUGCUCUCGAUUUUAAACUAAAGCAUUUGCCCCUUGGGCACGAAAAUAACCACUAGAGCGGCAGCCUAUGCGGGUGAAGCAGCCAACAUCGCCUGUUGUACAGCGACUCAAGUACUCGGCCCCCACGCUGGUGAACAGCCUGGUGUCGCACAACGCCGGUGUGCGUGUGCCGGUGUGUGUGCGUGCCAAGCAUUAUUCGAUCACACUGAAAACACGUGCUCUAUUACAACACAGCCAACCAGCAGCACACUCUGGCCAUGCAGAGCCACACGCGGCGAUCCUCUCCUUAACACAGUCGCACGGCUGCCGUCGUCUGCAUGUCUCCAUGCGCCAGGAGUCUUCUUCCAUAGUCCCGCCCACCGCAAAUUACGG
rnacentral:lncRNA from 1 species